CGGAGGCAGCAGUGGGGAAUAUUGCGCAAUGGAGGAAACUCUGACGCAGCAACGCCGCGUGAAGGAUGAAGGCUUUCGGGUUGUAAACUUCUGUCUUCAGGGACGAAUAAUGACGGUACCUGAGGAGGAAGCCACGGCUAACUACGUGCCAGCAGCCGCGGUAAUACGUAGGUGGCGAGCGUUGUCCGGAAUUACUGGGUGUAAAGGGCGUGUAGGCGGGAAUGCAAGUUAAAUGUGAAAUCCCGAGGCUUAACUUCGGGUCUGCAUUUAAAACUGCGUUUCUUGAGUGCUGGAGAGGAAAGCGGAAUUCCUAGUGUAGCGGUGAAAUGCGUAGAUAUUAGGAGGAACACCAGUGGCGAAGGCGGCUUUCUGGACAGUAACUGACGCUGAGGCGCGAAAGCGCGGGGAGCAAACAGGAUUAGAUACCCCGGUAGU
rnacentral:rRNA from 1 species